CCUACGGGAGGCAGCAGUGAGGAAUAUUGGUCAAUGGCCGGAGGGCUGAACCAGCCAUGCCGCGUGAAGGUCAGUGCCCUAUGGGCGUUAAACUUCUUUUGUGUGGGAGCAAUAAUGGUCACGUGUGGCCAGACGAGAGUACCGUACGAAUAAGCAUCGGCUAACUCCGUGCCAGCAGCCGCGGUAAUACGGGGGAUGCAAGCGUUAUCCGGAUUUAUUGGGUUUAAAGGGUGCGUAGGCUGUGAGGUAAGUCAGCGGGGAAAUGCCCCCGCUCAACGGGGUGAAGUGCCAUUGAUACUGCCUUGCUGGAAUGCGGAUGCCGUAGGAGGAAUGUGUGGUGUAGCGGUGAAAUGCAUAGAUAGCACACAGAACACCGAUUGCGAAGGCAUCUCACGAAUCCGCGAUUGACGCUGAUGCACGAAAGCGUGGGUAUCAAACAGGAUUAGAUACCCUUGUAGUC
rnacentral:rRNA from 1 species